UGAAUACGAGAUGCUACGGCGUCGAAGCAGUGUAUGUCAGACUUCCAAGAAAAGCUCGCAAUGUCAUAAAUAAAGAAUGCCUGUACCAUAACCGACACAGGUGGGUAGGUAGAGUAUACUAAGGGGCGCGAGAUAACUCUCUCUAAGGAACUCGGCAAAAUAACUCCGUAACUUCGGGAGAAGGAGUGCCUUCUUUAAGAAGGUUGCAAUAACAAGAUCCAAGCAACUGUUUAUCAAAAACACAGGUCUCCGCUAAGUCGUAAGACGAUGUAUGGGGGCUGACGCCUGCCCAGUGCCAGAAGGUUAAAGAAGUUGGUUAGCUUUUGCGAAGCUGAUGACUGAAGCCCUGGUGAACGGCGGCCGUAACUAUAACGGUCCUAAGGUAGCGAAAUUCCUUGUCGGGUAAGUUCCGACCCGCACGAAAGGCGUAAUGAUUUGGAUACUGUCUCGGAGAGGGACUCGGUGAAAUAGACUUGUCUGUGAAGAUGCGGACUACCUGCACCAGGACAGAAAGACCCUAUGAAGCUUUACUGUAACUUGAAAUUGAAAUUGGACUUUAUUUGCGCAGUAUAGGUGGAAGGCGUUGAAAGUAAUCUUGCGGGAUUAGUGGAGCCAUCAGUGAGAUACCACUCCUAUAAUGUUAGAUUUCUAACUUUGGAUCAUGAUCUGGUCAAAGAACAGUUUCAGGCGGGCAGUUUGACUGGGGCGGUCGCCUCCCAAAUGGUAACGGAGGCGUACAAAGGUUUCCUCUGAACGGGUAGAAAUCGUAUCUAGAGUGUAAAGGCAUAAGGAAGCUUGACUGUGAGACCUACAAGUCGAGCAGGGACGAAAGUCGGUCUUAGUGAUCUGACGGUGCUGAGUGGAAAGGCCGUCACUCAACGGAUAAAAGUUACUCUAGGAUAACAGGCUGAUCUCCCCCAAGAGUUCACAUCGACGGGGAGGUUUGGCACCUCGAUGUCGGCUCAUCGCAUCCUGGGGCGGUAGUACGUCCCAAGGGUUGGGCUGUUCGCCCAUGAAAGCGGUACGCGAGCUGGGUUCAGAACGUCGUGAGACAGUUCGGUCCAUAUCCGGUGUAGGCGUUAGAAUAUUGAGAGGAGCCUUCUUUAGUACGAGAGGACCGAGAAGGACAUACCUCUGGUGUACCAGUUAUCGUGCCAACGGUAAACGCUGGGUAGCUAUGUAUGGAGAGGAUAACCGCUGAAAGCAUCUAAGUGGGAAGCCCACCUCAAGAUGAGUAUUCUC
rnacentral:rRNA from 1 species